UAAGCCAAUGCAACUUUUAUUUGAAGUGUAUCCCGUGUAUUCUGAUACAUACAUGAAUGUGUCUGGGCCACUCACCCUAGAACCGCCCCUGAUGUUAGAUAUUAGAGAAAGUGUGCGUUUGCUUAGAGACCUAGAACCUAAACUGAGAGGUGCGUCCUACCAUGCUUGGGCUCUCUGGGCUGCUGAUCACUGAAAUCAAACAAACAGAGCAGGCUGAGGACAUACAGUGCAGUGUGCUCAACUCAGUGUGUGUGUGUGUGUGUGUGUGUCAGAAUCCCAGUGUCUGAGGCUGGAUGAUGGGACUGAAGACCCAGAGGACGAUCCAUUCACAGCCAAACUCAGCUUUGAGCAGGGUGGCCGUGCAUUCGUGCCGGUGCUGGUGAAUCGUGCCGUGCUGAGGUGCAUGUCCAGACGAGAUGUUCUGAUCAAGCGCUGGCCCAGACCGCUCAGCUGGCAGUACUACCGCUCUCUGCUGCCAGACGUCAGCAUCACCAUGUGCCCCUCCUGCUUCCAGAUGUUUCACAGUGAGGACUACGAGCUGCUUGUUCUUCAGCACAACUGCUGUCCGUACUGCCGCAGACCCAUCGACGAGCCCAGCUAGCACAGCUAGUGCCUGGAUUAGCCUCCAGACCAUCACUUCACCUGUGUGUCUGUAGGACCGUGCUUUGAUCAGCUAGAAACGCGUCAGUAAAUGCCAGCUCAGGGCAGCGCUCUGAUAGGAUCAGCCGGAUCAGCUGCUAAAGCUGAUUACAGCGUUUGUACAUGUGAGGACAUGCAUACGCCUUAUCACACACACACACACACACACACACACUCUCUCUCUCACACACACACACACUCACGGCUCGGUCCACUUCAACACGUUUGCUUAGAUUCAGACAAUAUAAAUAAAGUGUAAUAUUUAUGCCUCUAACAUGUAUUGUAAUGUUUUCCUGUCAGUAGAGCUGAAGUGUUUGUGUUGAUUGCUUCAUGUAGGUGUGAGUGGUUUUUGCCUGUAAAAGUGGCUGCUGUAAAGCUCAGGUGUUGCAUGAGAUCAUCAUUAUAACUGAUGCCUACCAUAAGCAUUAGAAAGACCACAGAAAACCAGUCUGUGUGAGCGUGUUUGUACCACAGCCUUAUUCUGGGGACAAAUUUGCACCAA